rnacentral:tRNA from 1 species
GGAGAGAUGGCCGAGUGGGUUGAAGGCGCGCGCCUGGAAAGUGCGUUUACCUGAAAGGGUAACGGGGGUUCGAAUCCCUCUCUCUCCGCCA